GACGAACGCUGGCGGCGUGCUUAACACAUGCAAGUCGAACGGAAAGGCCCUGCUUGCAGGGUACUCGAGUGGCGAACGGGUGAGUAACACGUGGGUGAUCUGCCCUGCACUUCGGGAUAAGCCUGGGAAACUGGGUCUAAUACCGGAUAGGAGCCAUUUUUAGUGUGAUGGUUGGAAAGUUUUUUGGGUGUAGGAUGAGCUCGCGGCCUAUCAGCUUGUUGGUGGGGGAAUGGCCUACCAAGGCGGCGACGGGUAGCCGGCCUGAGAGGGUGGACGGCCACAUUGGGACUGAGAGACGGCCCAGCCUCCUACGGGAGGCAGCAGUGGGGAAUAUUGCACAAUGGGCGCAAGCCUGAUGCAGCGACGCCGCGUGGGGGAUGACGGCCUUCGGGUUGUAAACUCCUUUCGCUAGGGACGAAGCUUUUUGUGACGGUACCUAGAUAAGAAGCACCGGCUAACUACGUG
rnacentral:rRNA from 1 species